CAAUUUGAUGAUUUGCUUGUUAAGAUAUUGAUUGCUGCCGCCAUUAUUUCAUUCAUUUUGGCUUUGGUUAAUGGAGAGACUGGAUUAACAGCAUUUCUUGAGCCUUUUGUUAUCCUGCUGAUAUUGGCUGCAAAUGCAGCUGUAGGGGUCAUUACAGAAACAAAUGCUGAAAAGGCUAUCGAAGAGCUUCGUGCUUACCAAGCAGAUGUCGCAACUAUUCUGCGAAAUGGUAAUUGUUAAAGUUGUUCGUGUUUUGAUGAUAUUGUGACUUAUUCAACUUGUUACUAUCCUUUCUUUACUUAAACAACAUGGUUCAAGUUGUUU